GGGUAAGCUAGGUUGGGAAGUCAGCCGUCUCCUGUUACCACAAACCGGCUUUACGGUGGAAUUGAAGCUUAAAAGGCGAACCAGAGUAAAUCUGUUGGUCUUGGCUCCUACAAUGAGAUUCUGUCCUGUAGGAUUGUUUCCUAUGGGAAUCGAGUCAGAUUGGGAACAAAGCAGCUCUAACUGUUUGAAAUAAUGCUUAUAGGGUAGCGGAAAUGAGGAAGAGCUAAGGUAAGCCAAUGUGUUUAUUUUGUUUCCACUUUUAGGUGUGCUUACCC
rnacentral:SRP_RNA from 1 species